AAAAAAUAAUCAUUGCUAAGCAUUUCUCCCAGUGUUGUAAGACAUGCAAUGAAAACAAUUUGCAAUGGCAUAUUUCUGUAUUAAAAAACCCGGUUUCAUCAGAGCUUGCCAAUUAAUGUUCAAUAUGAUAUGUUUCAUUAAAGGCUUGUUUAAUUCACAACAACACAUUCAAAUUGAUGAAAUGCAUUUCAAGUAAGAAAACGAACUGAGUGUUUACGUGCGUCUUUCUGUUUGUGUGCACUAUGCAUAAAAACAUAAACACAAUCUCUACCAUUACAGGCGAAGUACCCCACCUGCAAUGCCACUGACGGACUUUUAAACUGACAUCCACGCAGCGUAAACAUGUCCUAAACCAGUGCUUUCCCUUGCAAUCUUAAUACGUGAAUCAAACCUAAUCGCCAAUAUUUUUUCAAUAAUGUUUCAAUGCCAGUCAAGUUAAUAUAGGUCUUCUGAGUCAAGGCAACUAUAAACAAGGAUCCUCAAUCAAUCAAUUUAUUUAUUUAUCAUUUAAUUAAACCCAAUUAAUGUGUAGCUAUGACAUGCAUUUGACUCAUAUUCAUGUCUGAAGAAUAUCGCAGAACUGGCCUCUUCCUGUUCAAGAGGCUGGCUGCACAGGACAACUUUAUUCUGUCACGAAGGAUGCGUUAUAUUAGCCAGUCAAAUACCACUAUAUGUUGCCAGAACAAACAAAAUCUUUGGUGGUCUUGGCACGUCCAAACGUUUGUAAGGAAUAUAACCAAACACUUGAGACGCAGAAGCGAAGUUAACAACGAAUUGCCAUCACUAAUUAUUCUUAGCAAUGAUAAAAUAUCAUCAAAGAGUGAAACACAAAGGAAACAUUCGGGUGAGAAUCACCAUCCAUCUAAAAAAGAAGCAAAAAGCAUUAGGCGCAGAAAUGUCUUCAGGAAAAAUAUUUCCUAGUAGUUAUUCAGCCCAUAACAGCUAGUACUUUAAACUCAUCUUGGUUACAUCCGGGACCAAAUCACGAUUCACCUCUGAAAAAGAACUAAGCAGACAACGUCUCAGCUAAAAGUGGGAUUUCACAAGGAACCCCCGAGUUAAGAAUCUUUACGCAGUUUGACAGAAUGAAGAAUAUGGACAACUUCUGUAUGGAGACACCUGUCGAAAACUCCAAACAAAAGACACAAGUUACUACAUUGUCCAACAAAACAUUAAAAACAAAGUCAUAGACGUGGAACAUGGUAAUGCAGACACGUCAAAGGAAUGCAACGUCAAUAGAAUGCAACGUCAAACGAAUACAACGUCAAAAUUGACAACACUUUGUGCCUUAACUGUUGGGUAGCCAAACGGCACGGAGGAUGCGUUAUAUUCGCCAGUCAAAUACCACUAUAUGUUGCCAGUACAAAAUAUAAAAAAUAUUAGGGUUUGCAAACACAGUGGUUUGUUUCUUUUGCCGACAAUAUGGAUGUUCGAUGGUCCAGCUUGUUCUGUGGGUACAGUGUCACUGUCUCCAUGUUCAGUGAUAUCAGAGAGACCUUUAUCACCAUGAUGCUGGCAAUGUGUGUGUCCAAAGGUGAAAAGAGGUCUGCUGUGCUCUGUCUUCCUCCAGUUGCACAAAUGUCUUGGUUAUGUGCAGUUUUUUGCUUUUCGAGAUGUUCUCAAUGCCAUCUCUACUGGUUACUGGUAUGUAUUUAAAAAAAACCUGCUGUCAACUGCUGUCAAUGUUAUUCGGUUAUAUUAACCAUCAAUCAAAUGAAUAUUCACAUCUGCACAUCUUCAGGAAAUGCUCCAAUGAGAGUGCUUAUGGAUGCUGAUGUAAGUGAAGAGCACCCUCUGGUGGUCAAAAGGCCAAACCAGCCUAAUGUGUGCCUGAUCUUUACAGUAUGGCUGCACCAAGUUUAUAACAGACAAAUCAUAUAUAGUUUAUUACAAACAAAUCUCUCAAAUACAGAGAGGUAGGUUUAUAUCUAUUCAUAUUCAAAACUAAUAAGGUGAGUAUACAAGAUAAUAAUGUUUUUUCACUUAUUCAACAGAAAGCAAGGGAUAGAAUGGAGAAGGAAGAAAUAAAGAGAGAAAGAGAGAAAUGUUUGUGCUGGGCAACCGGCGUACUGGGAAACCAGUACAGUUUCUUUCUUCAGCAGACUAUCGGACCUAACUACGCCACUGGUAUCAUGUCGACAGAGCAGACUCUACUUUUUGAGGAAGCUUAGGUCAUUCAAUGCUUGCUGCAAGAAGUUACAGCCAUCUGUUGGGGCAGCGACCUCAGAGCCAGAGACUGUAAGACACUCAACAGA
ensembl:lncRNA